UACGUAGGGUGCGAGCGUUGUCCGGAAUUAUUGGGCGUAAAGAGCUCGUAGGCGGUGUGUCACGUCGGCCGUGAAAACCUGCAGCUUAACUGUGGGCGUGCGGUCGAUACGGGCAGACUAGAGGCAUGCAGGGGAGAACGGAAUUCCUGGUGUAGCGGUGAAAUGCGCAGAUAUCAGGAGGAACACCGGUGGCGAAGGCGGUUCUCUGGGCAUGUCCUGACGCUGAGGAGCGAAAGUGUGGGGAGCGAACAGG
rnacentral:rRNA from 1 species